GACGUCUCCCGGCUACGCCAAGGGCGCGGCGCCGCGGGGGGACGAGCAGCUCUCUCCGACAUGGAGACAGACAGCCAGGGCUGGGGAGGUUCCGAGACGAAGGGCCCGAGGAAGCCCGCAAGACGGGCGCCUCGGCCGCCUCAUCCGGGCCCACCGGCCAUGCAGUGCAUGCUGGGGGUUGUAGUUGAGUGAGGGAGCUCUGCUGAUGGGUUGCACUGUGCAGGGGCGUGGGAGGCCAGUCCUGUUGCGCAGUGACAGGAAAGCUCUGUGCGUCUACAUCCUUGCUGUCACCGCAAUUCGUUCUGCCACUACUUCGGCUAAAUGUUUACUCUUAGCCCUAGAUAGAUAGCCCCAAGCCUUCUAUUUCUGUGUCAUAGAAACAAACAAGGAGAAUCUGCUAUGACCAAGAGCUGUGGAAACAAUGACCUUUGGAAGGUGGCAUAAUAGCUGCCGUGAAUUGUGUGGAAACACUCUCAACUGCAUGAACGCACACGAAGAUACACAAAGAUCAACAGUGACGGGGAAAAGGGCUUUCCUUUUCUCGUCGCCUAGGAGAAACAAUGGCACAAAACAGAGGCCUCCGUGGAUCUGGGGGUCAGUAGCUGAAGCCAUAUGACCCAGCUUCUCAUAAAGCUUCGUGACCUCACUGGGCUGAGAAACGGUAGGAAAUGACAGUUUGGCUUUAUUUUUAUUUCUGCCCUUCAAAUUCCAUAAACUUUUUAGAGAAGAAAGCUCGCCUGUGGUCCGGACAUGGAAAAGUAUUUCAUGAGCAAAUGUUCAGACUGCCAGAUUGACUGAAGACGUUCCUCUAAGUAUCCCAUCAUUGGGGCCACAAAGGCCUGCUCUUGGGCCAGGUCACUGGACUCCUGGGGUUCUGGUGAGGUUGCAAUGAAGCUCUUCAAGGAGAGGUUGGUUGGUUGGUUGGUUUGACUGGGAGGAGCUAUGUCUAAUCUGCACGGCCAUG